rnacentral:rRNA from 1 species
ACUGCUCAGUAACACGUAGCUAACCUGCCCUAUAGCCCGUCAUAACUUCGGGAAACUGAAGCUAACAACGGAUAACUGACGAUCUCUGGAACGAUUCGUCGGUGAAAUUUACGCGAUAGGAUGGGGCUGCGGCUGAUUAGGUAGUUGGCGGGGUAACUGCCCACCAAGCCAAUGAUCAGUAAGGGCCUUUAGCGAGGAAGCCCUGAGAGGGAGUCUGAGACACUACUCCCAGCCCUACGGGGUGCAGCAGUCGGGAAAAUUCUGCAAUGUACGAAAGUAUGACAGAGCAAGCCAAAGUGCUUCACUUCGUGUGAAGCUUUUGUGUGCUGUAAAAAGGCACACGAAUAAGGACUGGGCAAGACUGGUGCCAGCCGCCGCGGUAAUCCCAGCAGUCCAAGUCGCAGCCACAUUUGUUGGGUCUAAAACAUCCGUAGCUUGCCUUACAAGUCUUUUGUGAAAUCGGGACUCUUAAAGUUCCGGCGGGCAAAAGAUACUGUUUGGCUAGAGACCGGUAGACGCAUAGAGUACAGAUAGGGUAGUGGUAAAAUACGUUGAUCCUUUCUGGACUAACAACAGCGAAGGCACUAUGCGAGCACGGUUCUGACAGUGAGGGAUGAAGGCUAGGGGCGCAAAGUGGAUUAGAUACCCAUGUAGUCCUAGCAGUAAACACUGCACACUAAACAUUAGUGCCUCUUCGAGAGGCAUUAGUGCUGUAGGGAAGCCGGAGAGUGUGCUACCUGGGAAGUAUAGUCGCAAGACCGAAACUUAAAGGAAUUGGCGGGGGAGCA